AUGGGGACGGGGACGGGGACGGGGACGGGGAUGGGAUGGGGAUGGGGAUGGGGACAGGAUGGGGACGGAGAUGGGGAUGGGGAUGGUGGAAGAGCCGCGGGGGCACCGGGCCGGGGCCGUUCCGUUCCGUUCCGUUCCGCAGCCGCCCGGGGUUCGUUGUGCCCGGGGGCGGUGCCGGCCGAGGCGGGGCGGCCCCGCUUUCGCUUUCGUUUCCCGGUGGCUGCCGUGGGGCCCGAGCCGGGCCGUAGGUUACCGGGACCGAGCUGCGCGGAGCUGCGCGGAGCUGGGGCGGCGGCACCGGGGGUCGGGAGGAAAGGAACGGGCACGACCGGCCCCGGGGGCUCGGGCAGCGGCGGAACGGACCCGGGGGGAGAGGAGAGGCUCCGAGGGGUGCCCGGUACCCGGUGCCGCCUCGCCGGGGGCAUGGCAGGCCACACGGUGGAGGUGCGGGGCAUCCCCACCGACCUGCCCCCCGACAGGGUGGCCGACAAGCUCACCAUCCACUUCUUGCGCUCCCGGAACGGCGGCGGGGAGAUCGCCGAUGUCCAGGUGCUGCCGGGGGCACGGGCGUGUGCCCUCAUCACCUUCGAGGCUCUGGCAGUGGCCCAGAGGAUCCUGAAGACGAAGAAUCACGUCCUGUCCAUCGGGGGGAAGAAAUAUCCCCUGGAGGUGACGGCGCACGUGGUGGAGCUGAGCCCCGACGAGAUCUUUGUAUGCGCUUCCAUGGUGGUUGACUACGGCAAGCUGCCCGCUGGCAAAACCCUCCUGAAGAACCUGCAGAAAGGCCACAGCAGCGUGCAGCUCGACUUUGACCACAAGAACACGCGUUGCAGAGUCGAGGGACCAUUCACCGAGGUUCAGGCCUUCAGCAGAGACCUGCUGGGCAGCCUGAACCUCAAGAGCCAAGCAGCUGGAGCUACCCUGCCUCCGGGAUCCAGCCACGUGGCCAAAGACACCAAAAUGCACGAUCACCAGCAAGUGCCUCCCUCCACUGGGUCAGCACUGAAGACCACAGCGCUGUCACGCUGGGACUACGGGAGCGAAGGGGCAGCUGGAGGCCCGUCACCUCGAGGCCCAGUGGAUGGGGAAGCUGUGGGACAGCUGGAGGACUUUUCCCUCGUGAUGGACUCGGACAUUUACUUGUACAUGCAGAGGCUCUGUGCUGCCGAGUACCAAGGUGUGCUGCAGCAGCACUUCGUGGAUGUGGUGGACAUCAGCAACGAUGAUAUCACCAUACUGUACCUCCAGCCGUCCCCGGGGACGUCUGGGGACACGGACGCCUUGCGACAGGCUCACCUGGCCCUGCAGCAGCUCUACCAGCAACUGGAACUGAGCUUGCGUAAGGAGAAGAUCUCGAAGCGGGGACUGGGCCAAGCAGUACAUCCAGCACUUCAGUGCCAGAAGCACCCCGCAGACGGUUGUCAUGCUCAGCAGCUCCCAGCCCUCCCGGCCAGCAGUGUCCCACGCCACAGAGGCUGCAGGACACAAGCCCAAAGCUCCUGUGGACACCUCGUCCCCAAAGCUGAGCCCAGGCAGGCCAGAAGGGAAAGCUGA
rnacentral:lncRNA from 1 species